rnacentral:lncRNA from 1 species
AGAAAUCCAAUGACUUGUCAGCCAGAGUAACGGCUGUUGUCAGGUCUUCAGGGUCUCGAGGUCGGUUUCUUCCUAACGCCGCCAACCCCAAGCUAAGGGUCUUACUCUGUCACCUAGGCUGGAGUACAGUAGUGCGAUCAUGGUUCACUGUAGCCUCGACCUCCCGGGCUCAAGCAAUCCUCCCACCUCAGCUGGCUAAGUAGCUGGAACUACAGACAUGUGCCACCAUGCCUCAUUAAGGGAGAAGAAAGGCAUGAGGAAAAGAGGAAGAUUGUUAUUGUCAAUAUAUUUCAUAUUGGAAAAGGGCUCCAUGCCACAUUUUUGUUCUGUGGCCUUAGCGCCUCUCUCAGCCUAGUUUUCUUUAGCUGUAGAACAGGGAUCCUAGUACUGCAUAAAGUGUUUGUGAAGAAGAAUACAUUAGCUAAUAACAUAAAGGUUUUAAUACAGUGCAUAUCAUACAGCCUGGCCAACAUGGCGAAACCCCAUCUCUACUAAAAAUACAAAAAAUCAGCUGGGCGUGAUGGUGUGCCUAUAGUUGCUGCUACUUGGGAGGCUGAGGCAGGAGAAUCAAUUGAGCCUGUGAGGCGGGGGUUGCAGUGAGCUGAGAUCGCGCCACAGCACUCCAGCCUGGGCGACAGAGUGAGUGAGACUCCAUCCCAAAAAAAUAAAUAAAUAAAGCCUAUCUUCCGGCCAGAAUAUAAACUCCAUGGAUGGCAUUUGUCUCAGUUAACACUCUUUCUCUAAUAGCUCCUGAAUUGCCUGCUAGAAUCGCCUAUAGGAAGACAUGACAUUAUGGGGAAUGCGUUAAGUAGCUCCCAACAUGGUCAUGUGCUCACACUAGGACUAAGAUACUGUUAUUAAAUAAAUCAUGGAAAAAUGAACUUAGAAAGGGAUAUGAAGGAUUAGCCAGUAAGUCUCUAUAAAACAUAAGGGAAUUAUAUCCAUAUUACCUUGUAUAUAAAAUGCCUUAUUUUUCAGCAUUCUUUUUUUUGUUGUUUUUUUGAGACAGGAUCUCUUACUCUAUGGCCCAGGCUGGAUUGCAGUGGCAUGAUCUUGGCUCGCUGCAGUCUCAACCUCCUGGGCUCAAGCAGUCCUCCCACUACAGCCUCCCGAGUAGCUGGGACUACGGGUGUGCAUCACCAUGCCAGGCUAAUUUUUGUAUUUUUCGUAGAGGGGGUUUCCACCAUGUCACCCAGGCUGGUCUCGAACUCCUGAGCUCAAGCAAUCUGCCUGCCUUGGCCUCUCAAAUUGCUGAGAUUUCACACGCAUGAGCCCAGCCAUUUUUCAGCACAUUCUUUAGGCAAUUUCCUUUCAGCAUUUUAGAGUAGUAAGUACUCUAAGUAGAAUUUACCAAGUUCUUGGUCUUCAUAAAUUGACAACCUCUUAUUUUGUAGGUUAUAGUGCCAUCAUGUGGAUACUUUGUUUUCUUCAAAUAAAAUGUAACCUUUUUAUAACAGAGACUAGAAAACCCAGCCAUCCCAACACCCAGGUAUGACAAUUUAUAUUUUAUGUUAUUUAUUUAUUGAGAAAGGUCUCCCUCUGUCACCCAGGCUGGAGUGCAGUGGUGCAAUCUCAGUUUACUGCAACCUCCACCUCCCAGGCUCAAGCGAUCCUCCAACUCAGCCUCCUUAGUAGCUGAAAUCAUAAGCAUGAGCCACUGUGCCCAGCCUGGCAUGACAAUUAAUUUGGUAUUUGUGUCUAAGCCUUUCUGUGUACAGAUUCACUCAGGGACUUCUAUAUCUGAGUUUUUAGUAUACAAAAUUUGGAAAUGAUCAUUUAAAUGAUAAAAUAAAUCUGAAUACCAUAGCUUGAUAAUACAUGCAGUCCCCAUAGAUGAUCAGUUUUCUCUCUUUCUGGAUACUAGGCUGUGCAAAGAAAUUGGGGCCAAACGUUUUUUUGCCAUGUUCUGAAAAGGUAAGAAUAAGAAAUAAAUAUUAAUGUGUGGAGCCAAAAGAGUAACCUCAGACUGGCUUAGGAGAGCAAUAUAGUCUGAGGAAAAGAGUUUCAAAAAAUAACCUCCCUGAGCUGGGCAAGGUGGCCUGUGCCUAUAAUCUCAACACAGGUUGAGGUAGGAGGCCGAAGUGGGAUGACUGCUUGAAGCCAGGAGUUCGAGAUCAGCCUGGGCAACAUAGUGAAAUCCCAUCUUUACCAAAAAAAAGAAAAAUGAGCCAGAUGUGGUAGCAUGUCUGUAGUCCCAGCUAGGCGGAAGGCUGAGGCAGGAGGAUCCCUUGGGUCUAGGAGUUUGCACCACU